UACGUAAGGACCGAGCGUUGUCCGGAAUCAUUGGGCGUAAAGGGUACGUAGGCGGUUAGAAAAGUUAGAAGUGAAAGGCUAUAGCUCAACUAUAGUAAGCUUUUAAAACUGUUUAACUUGAGAGAUGGAAGGGAAAGUGGAAUUCCUAGUGUAGCGGUGAAAUGCGCAGAUAUUAGGAGGAAUACCAGUGGCGAAGGCGACUUGCUGGAAUCUAACUGACGCUGAGGUACGAAAGCGUGGGGAGCAAACAGG
rnacentral:rRNA from 1 species